rnacentral:ncRNA from 1 species
GUAAGAUUUGGUGCCAAGCGAAAGCUUGACUUAAAAGGGAAGUCGGUGUGAAUCCGACGCUGUCCCGCAACUGUAAAUCGGAGCAAAUCACAAAUGCCACUGGUGAGAAACUGGGAAGGCUGUGAGGAGCGAUGAUGAUAAGCCAGGAGACCUGCCAACAUC